ACGGUUUCAUGGAGCUCCUGCAAGUCACGGGGCCCAUAGGCAGUUUCCUAGUAUUAGGUCACGGUUUCAUGGAGCUCCUACAAGUCGCGGGGCCCAUAGGCAGUUUCCUAGUAUUAGGUCACGGUUUCAUGGAGCUCCUACAAGUCGCGGGGCCCAUAGGCAGUUUCCUAGUAUAAGGUCACAGUUUCAUGGAGCUCCUACAAGUUGCGGGGCCCAUAGGCAGUUUCCUAGUAUAAGGUCACAGUUUCAUGGAGCUCCUACAAGUUGCGGGGCCCAUAGGCAGUUUCCUAGUAUUAGGUCAUGGUUUAAUGGAGCUCCUACAAGUUGCGGGGCCCAUAGGCAGUUUCCUAGUAUUAGGUAACGGUUUCAUGGAGCUCUUACAAGUCGCGGGGCCCAUAGGCAGUUUCCUAGUAUUAGGUCACGGUUUCAUGGAGCUCCUACAAGUCGCGGGGCCCAUAGGCAGUUUCCUAGUAUAAGGUCACAGUUUCAUGGAGCUCCUACAAGUCACGGGGCCCAUAGGCAGUUUCCUAGUAUAAGGUCACAGUUUCAUGGAGCUCCUACAAGUCACGGGGCCCAUAGGCAGUUUCCUAGUAUAAGGUCACAGUUUCAUGGAGCUCCUACAAGUUGCGGGGCUCAUAGGCAGUUUCCUAGUAUAAGGUCACGGUUUCAUGGAGCUCCUACAAGUCAUGGGGCCCAUAGGCAGUUUCCUAGUAUUAGGUAACGGUUUCAUGGAGCUCCUACAAGUCACAGGGCCCAUAGGCAGUUUCUUAGUAUAAGGUAACGGUUUCAUGGAGCUCUUACAAGUCGCGGGGCCCAUAGGCAGUUUCCUAGUAUUAGGUCACGGUUUCAUGGAGCUCCUACAAGUCGCGGGGCCCA